GAUGAAGAACGUAGCGAAAUGCGAUAAGUAAUGUGAAUUGCAGAAUUCAGUGAAUCAUCGACUCUUUGAACGCACAUUGCGCCCGCCAGUAUUCUGGCGGGCAUGCCUGUUCGAGCGUCAUUACAACCCUCAGGCCCCCGGGCCUGGCGUUGGGGAUCGGCGGAAGCCCCCUGCGGGCACAACGCCGUCCCCCAAAUACAGUGGCGGUCCCGCCGCAGCUUCCAUUGCGUAGUAGCUAACACCUCGCAACUGGAGAGCGGCGCGGCCACGCCGUAAAACACCCAACUUCUGAAUGUUGACCUCGAAUCAGGUAGGAAUACCCGCUGAACUUAAGCAUAUCAAUAAGCGGAGGA
rnacentral:misc_RNA from 1 species